GAGUCAAUAUUAGAUUAUAUUAACAGCUCACAUAUUCCUAUUUUCUAAUAUUAUAUUAUAUUUAAUUCUUUCUCCUAAUAUUUUGAAGGUCAAUAUAUUAAUCCUCUUUUGAUAUUUCUGGAAGUUUCCUUUUAAAUUUUUAUCUCUUCCUCUUCUUCUCUCUCUCAGUUUCUCUGCAAUUACUGUGUAUAGUUGGAAAAUGAUGAAGACAACAAAUAACAACGUCCAUUAGAUCAAUGACAAGAGAAGGCUUGCGAUGGCAGCAACCACCACCAGCACCACCGAAUUCAUCACGGCGGUCAAUAUUGUCGACAUGCAAACCUCCACCAGGCAUGUUCUAAUUCUGUUUUGGUGGAUUUGUAUUACAAAAUUCUCUCAUACCUUUAAAGGUUAAUUCUUUGAAUUGUAAAAUAUAUUUACAGUAACUGAUGUUCUUGUUUUAUUUCAA